UUGGUGCGGAAUAACUUCUCUGUUGUCAGAAGUGGGUCUGCACUGCUCAGGCACCAGGCACCACGAGGCUGAGGGCAUCAUGUCCCCCAGAGCCCCCAUGGAGUGGGGCACAAAGCACUGGUCAGAAAGUCCUGUGUCGGUGUGUGGUGUUCCCAGACCAGCAUCCGAUGGCCACAGGUUGAUGCGAGACCAGCACUCCUCAGUCCAUCCGUCCUCUCGCUGUUAUGCUGGCGUUAACCCAGGCCAGCCUCAUCAACAGCACUGCUCUUGGCCGAGCCGAGCAGCACCCAAGCCUGACUCUGGACACAUCCGCGCUCUGCUGGCAAUACUUAUUUGAAAUCCCAAAUCACUUUUCUGCUUGCAAGUCUCUUGGGAAGGCAGAGGGAACAGCCGUCAUGCCGCCCCGAGUCCUGGCACCACUCACGACCUAGCGCAUGCCAAAUAUUGCAAGCAUCUGCGGCGGAGCGCGCCCGGGCCGCGGGAGCCACCUCUUCGGCCGGGAGCCCGGGUGCGGCUGGCUCCGCCGCGGCCCCGAGAGUCGAGCCCGAUCCGUCCUCACCGGUUGUUUCAGGCGGGAGCAACCCAAAGCGCUGCCCCGGCUGCGGUGGCCGCCUGUCCGAGCAUCCUGGAAAUGAAAGCAGCGCUGUUGGCCCCAGCAAGCCACAAGAGGGUCAAGCAGAAACGCGGGAGAGCGGUGACUCAUCUUUGGGUUGACUGGGCAAUUUGGUUUGAGGGAGGGGGAGAGUGAAAGGAAAAAGGAAAGCGGCCCUCCGUAGGAAACGGCGUGCGUUUCUGAGCUGUCCUUUCCUCUGCCCCGACUCCUGACAUCUCUUGAACCAACAAAAUGGGAAUUUUGGACACUUAGCCUGAAGAGCCCUGGCUUUCGUGUGGAGCGUCUCGGGGUCCAAAUAGCCUGGGGAGGCUGCACAUCUCGGUUUGAACCGUAGGGUCUGCAGAGCACGGGGGGGCGCGGAGGAGAGCUGCCCGCUCCAGCACCCCGACGUCUGUGUCGGCGCGCCGAUGGCAGGGACGCAGCCAGCAGGCAGCAAGGAGCCAGGGCCCGUCCAUGCCGCUGCGGUGGUGAGAGCAGGAUGAGGAGGGUGUUUUGGGAGCCAGGGCUGACUCUCGGCUGUGUGCCUGCGGGUCAAAAGCCUGGUCUGACAUCCUCUCCGAGCAGCCACUGCGGCAAAGCGUGGGCCUCUCCUCCGCUCCCUCCCCCCGACCCCAGGAGCCCCUUCGCUGCGGGACGCCCUGCAGAAAAGGGGACGUGGCCACCACCCGCUCCUUCCUCUCUGAGGAGGUGAGAAACGGCCCACGUGCGAGACAAGUGUCUCCCGCGUCGGAGGAAAGGAAACGGGCUCAUAUAAAAGCCGCCGACGCUGGCCGAGCGUGCCUCUGCUCACUGCGGAGGUGCGCACGCGUGCCCCCAAGAUGCCCUUAACAUUGGCUUGCUGAGGCUGUGGCAAAAAAAAGAAAAAAAAGAAAAAAAAAAAAGACCUGUAAAAUUGAAACAACCGGUCUGGCCCGGUCCCUUUCCCCAGAAGGACCUGACUGUCAAGAGCACGUGCCCAUCAACGCUUGCCAUAUGUCCUGGCUGCAUCUGCCUGGGGAGAAGGGGCGGGAGAGAGGGAUGCUCUGCCCUGCUGGCUUUGACUUUCCCAGAUUCCUCGCAGUCUCUAGGGCUUAGGCAUGGUGUGUUCUCUUUUUCUUUUCUUUCUUUCUUUUCUUUUUCUUUUUUUUUUUUUUUUGAUAUUUGGAAAUGGGUUAUUCCCACCCCGCCUCCUUGGCCCCUUCCUGAUGGACAGCACAGGACAGGACGGGACAGGACACCUCCGCAACGCCGAGCAGCCUUCUGCUCGGAGGAGGCGGAAGCAUCUCACCGAAGCCAAGAUGAGCUGCCGGCUUUGAAAAGCAGGUGGUGCGACACAGGGCCCUGAGGACGGCAAUUAGCACAACGGACUUGGCGAGGCCUGAGAAGCUCUGCUUUGCCCCCGAGACCGCGGCGGUUUUUCCACGCGUGCAUGGAGAGGCCAGCUCCCGCGUAAAGACCCCCCCAGCCUCCCCCCUGCCUAACUCCUCUCCAAAUAUAGAGAGGGGAAGGCACGCAGGUUUUCCCUCAGCCCAGGAAAAACGCCGCUGCGGCCCUCGAAAUUUUUUGGCAAAGCCGCCAUCGUGGCCGUGGUCACAGAAACUUUCCCCAGGGACGAAGCAACCUUUUGCGGUGCCGAACAGCUAUGACAGACGGCACUGAAAACCCCUUUCGUUGGAAAUUUCCCUGUCUUCUUCUGCCUCGCAGCGCGCGCGUGCGCGUGCUUAACCCCCACAGGAGUUUUGGGUAGAAGUGAAACCUAUGCGAGGUGCCCUGGGGGCCGCGCUGGCGCCUCCGGCUUCGGCCUCUGCGGGGGAUCGCGGGGGCUAAUCCCGAUGAAGGCGGGUUCGGGGGAGGGAUCAUCUCAAUGUUUCCCUUUUUCCAGCAGGACCUCAUGACGGAAAGCUGUUGGCCAUGGCUUUAAGGUCACGUUUUACGUUGUCGUCCCCUGGGCUGGAGGCCCAGCCUCGCUCACCUUUCCCAGGGGGCCCCCACCGGAGGGCCUGACGCUUCCUCAUUUUCUUUUUCGGUUCCUCUUCCCUGCACUCAGUCGCCGUCGCUUUGGAGAGCCUCGUCACCCGCGACCGUCCUUCCCCCCUUCACAUUUCCCUAUGCCAGAGUUUCCUUGCGCCAGCGCCGUUACUCACCCAGCUCCUCCUCCACCUCUGAGUAAUGGCUACACCAAGGAUGCGGAGCCAAUGGUUAUGCCAAGGAUGGUCGCACCUAGGAUGCUAGAGAGGAAAGGAUCCGCAUUUUUUGAACGAUAGCAAUAAUAAUAAUAAAACGACCCAGUCUUGAUAGCAAAGAGCAGUCUAUGAACGCCGAGUAGGAACCUGCCUACGCAGCCUCCAUGGGAUCGAGCUGACAGGCUGCAAGAAAGGGCAACAUUUGCCUGAGUCAGUCGAAGAGAAUUACACCUUGCACUCAUCAGACCCAUGCAUUCAACUCGAGACAACACCAGUCAUUCCCCAAAUAAAGCAGCAAGUAAGACACCUUUUCAUCCACCCCCAGAGCACGAGGGCAACGAGAGCCACAGGUUUCGAAACCACCGUCUCUUCUCCAGACAGAAAUAGGGAGGAGGGGUGAAGCGCAGAUGUGGCAGGUCCAAAACAAACCCGAGGAAGUGGCUCCUUGCGUAAUGAAGCGGUGCAACUCCCUGUGGCAGGAUGCUGCGGAUGCUGAACGUUCGCAUGAGCUCAAAAAGCAGUUGGGCCUUUUCAUGGAGGGGGAAAAUAAAUUACAGACUGUCAUGGACAAAGAUCCCAGCGCUCGCUUGGGAAGUCUCUCAGGCACGAAUCGCCUGAAAUUAGAGCCUGGGACAUGCUGGCACUCGCUUGCCUUAGUUCACUCUGUUUUCAAGGCAUUCGCUGCUAGCUGCACUUGGGGCUAGGACAUCGGUCUAGGUGGACUUUUUUUGCAUCUCUGUGUUAUGGCUGAAGUAUGAAUAUCAGUGGUCCCAGUGUUGUUGGAUUGGCUGGGAUAGCUACUAAAUGCAUCUAUUUCAGGGACUGUUUUACUUUUCCUGUGAUGGCUGCUGAGCAGAUGCCACCAUUGUUGGUGCUUGACACAUUUCCUGGGUUUAACUCUGCCGGUCUGCGGCUGACCACUCCGAGAAAGUCAGUGAGUUAGUGCUAUGGUCUUGCUCGUCUGCACAUCUUAGUCUGCUGAGGGUUUUCUUUUGCUUUUAAUGAGAACAUUCAGCAAAACAGGCUGCAGAGCAAUAGCAAGCUCCAAAGGAGAGACUUUCAAGGGCAAGAGCUCUCAGCAGCAUGGCUGUGGCAUGUGUCUAUCCACAUGCUGAAGAAGUUGAUUUCUCCCCUCUACCUCCAUGGAGCCACCAGAGCUUUACCAUGACAGUGAAGGUAGCAGGAUAAGGCCUUUCCUGGAUCAGGUCCUUCUACUGUAAGACAUCACUCUGGCACAGGAAAUCACCGAGCUGCAAAGAGUAGGAGGCUGCAAGAGUUGUUGAGCCUCAUUUUAGGUCUCUCUGAAGGCACAGACUGUUGACAGCGAAGGUCUCUGGCCUGCCCCCUCCCCUUCAACCUCCCGAAGCAAGGCCAGCUUCAAAGCCUGGUGGCGACACUCAGGGACAUGUCUUUGAAGCCCUCCGUGCAUGUGGCCAUCUGACGCAUUUUGGGUGUGAGUCAAUGCCUGAUGCACCGAAACAGGAGGUGAUUCAGCCACAGAGCUCUGUUGGGGUUGUCUAGCAAAACAGCAUGGCAGCUGGGGCUACAUCUGACCCCUUGGGCCAUCCCCGCUUGUUCCUACACCUGCUUCAUCUCCAGCAGGGCACAGCAGCCCACAACCGUCGGACCCCUUUGGAUUUGUAUGGUUGGGCUACAGCGGGUCCAUGGCUGUGGCGCCGGGGCCGUGAGACAGGAGCGCAGCCUGGGAGAAGCAGCGAUUUGCAAGCGUUUGCCACAUUGGGACCAUGUUCCUGGCAGAGCCAAGCUCGAGAAGCACCGAAGAAGGAAAAAGCCUUGCUUUAAACCUGAACUUGAUUUGUCUGGUCGUAAUUAUGGCAACUGCUUCUCUAUGCCUAAAGGAGGCUGUGGCUCUGGCUGUGAAUCUUCCUUUGAUGUGUAGAUACAGGUGCCGUUAUCUGGGGACCAUCUCAGGUGGGGAGCAGGCCAUGCACAGCCAACCGAUGCGGCAACCAUGCACAACACAAGCAAACAUGGCUAUUUUAGCCUAAAUUUUGGCUGAAACCACUCAGCAGCAUGCUGCUGAUCAGGACCAGUGUUAGGGAGGGCUGUAUGGAAACAGGCCAAGCUCAUGCCUUAUGGAGCCCAAAUAACCCUUACGGAGUGCAAGGGAGCUCAGCGCAGCCAACAGCCGCCCCAGUCGCACCUGCGGCGCUCGUGCGAGAAAAGCUGCCGGACACAAAAGCCACCCGUCCCUCUGGAAGGGGGUCCUGGCUACUGUGGACACAGAACAGCAUGACUCUUCACUGCCGCUUUAAAGCUCAGACAGGGACCACUGUUAUAUUCAUAGAAAUCAGUGGGAGAUUUGUCAUUCAUAGUCUGAUCGCAUGAGUCUAACGCUAUGUAUAGAUAGGUUAGAGUCACGCUUAUAUAACACUGCCUUAUUUAUGAUCCUAAGCCUAAGGGAGAGACAUCUCACCCCCAGCCCUUUCUUCCUGGCAGAAAGUGUCAUUCAAAGCCCAGCUUCAAUCCUAUCUCAGAAGCCGGGUGCUUAACUCAGCGUUGGGGAAAUCCAAGGGAGGCAUUUCCCUCUCGCCUCACGAGAAGGCGGCAGCCGCUGGGAUCCGCGCGCCUGCGGCUAGACACAGUGCUGGAGCCGGAGAGCCUCCAGGAGCGACCUCUGCCUUCACCCCCCUCCCCCAACGUGGGCGAGAGGCAAAAUGCCCCGGGUCGUCCUGGACAGAGAGCACUCGCAUCCCUUACCAGGUUUCGGCUGAACGCUUUCCAAGGCUGGCCGCUUCCGCCGAGCGCGUCUCAAACAAGCUGAGAGGAGGGGAUCUGCUUGCUUCCAGGGAUUCGCUUCUCUGGCUCUGCAGCAUCCCCCAAACCUGUGGCUACGAAUAUUAGUUUAAUCUCCAUGGCAAACAUUUGAAAAAUUCGAGAUUAAGGGUCCCCGGGCUUGACUUGGGCACCUCACUCAUCCAUCUGCUUUAUAAUCCGUGGUUGUGACUGCAUGAUCACAGAGCAUGGGUGCCCCGAUGGCCCAAGCAGGGAAAGCUUGAAGCUCAUGAAGACAGGAGCACAGCAGGAGGUUGGCAAGGGAAACCAAGGGGGUCUGAAAGCUGGGAAGGCGCCGCGGUUGUGUUGGAAGAUGACACAACGUCAAGGGCAGCCCAUGCCUAUUCUUGUGUCAGGAAGGCCCUUACUGGUGCCAAGAUUGCAGAAAAGUUUGGUGAGAACCCUGAAUCGAGCAAUGCAUCUCUCAAACCAAGGCCUUCAGGCUGAACCGCAUGCUGGAAGAUGCUCCAGAUGGGAGCCCAGGGGACAGCUGGACUGGCUUCGCAUCUGCCAGGCUUCGUAUCAGGGACAGAUUUUUGGACACUGGCAAUACAGAGGGGCAAAUGGGCUACACCACAGCUUUGCCAUAGGACCAGCAGGCUCCUAAGUGAGUCCUUCAGAGCUGGGCUCAUGUCUCAGAUCAGCCAGCCCAUCUAUCAGCCGCUCCGUGGAAAUGCCCGAGGCAGCUCGCCUCCGAACGCUGCGGUUUUUGUCUCCCCCCUCAAACCCAACCACAACAAAAAGAAAAAGCACGGGGAUUUUAGGGAUAGAGAUGUUCUGUUCCCACUGGCAGCACUUGGGCCUGACACGGAACCCCCCCCCCACCAGCACCAGUCAUAACUAACUGCCGGAGCUAAUCAGCUGGCGGAAGUCAUAUCCUCCUAAAAUCCUGCUCUUGGAUUAAGCCACGUGUCACUCACGCGAUAGAGCCGGAGCCCCGUCGACCUUUAGAGGAAGGGAUGAGCCAGUGGCAAAAAGGUAAGAAAGGGAGAGGAAGCCAAACCUGAGGUGGAAACGGGCACAGGCCACUUUUUGCGCCCAGCGAACCUGAGUGCCGCCUGCCCCCGGCAUGUUUGCACAGGCGCCAAGCGACAGCAGCUCUUCUGGUGCGUGGAACGCCCCGCUGCAGCGCCGAAGAAUCCGCUUUCCCCUUCGCUUUCGGGAUUAAAGCCUCCUUUUUCCUUCUCCUAAUCUGCACCAGGCCAGUGGCACGGUGCUUAGUCCCCCAGGGCUUUCCCCGAGGAAAGCUCAGCCUGGGUGAAACCCCCUUCGCUGGCUCCGUGGCCCCCACUGAAAAGCCCUGGGAGAUCCUUGGCUGAAAACCAGCGGGGGACAGGCUGCUCCGCUGACAGCCCUGCGAGAGCAGCAGCUCACACGGCGGGGAGGGAGGGCACUGAUUUGGG